AUUUGCAAUGUUCAAAAUUUUGGGAUCAAAAUACAACUUUUUUUAAAUUUAAGCCAAUAUAAAGUGUGUGCAGGUUGACUUUUAAACCAUUUUUGCUUACAAGAAGCUUAUCAGUUGUAAUGUUUAGCACCUACAUAACCUGAUGGUCAUGUAGUGACUUGGGAUUGGCGAUUAAAGAAACAUGGGUAUCGAGCAUAUUAAUGUGAGAAGUAGAUAUACAAUAUGUUGUAAAGGAGAAGACAAGUAAAUAUUGAGUGUGAAAGAUAAGUAUGAUUUUUUUACUAUCAUAUGAAUUAUUGAAUUUAAUCUGGUAUUCAACCCCUCAAAAUUAGAUUUAAUACAUGCUACUACACCAUUACUUAUCUCUACUAUUAAAGGAGAAUUUGACAAGUAAUCAAGCAAAUCAGCACUAUCGUCGAUGGAAGUUGUCGUGCGGAGAUGGAAGUUGACAAGUAAGUUUCUCCAUGAAGCUGAUCUGAUGUGAAGCUUGUGCCAGAUAAAAGGUGGAAGAACAAGAUCCACUGUGUGUGCAACGGCAACAAUAAAUAUCAUGUCAUUAGAUCAUGUCAUUUGACUUCCCGGAGAACUACAUAUUCCUGGCUAUUGGAAGGGUCAGGUCAAGUACUGAGUUGAUUGCCCAGAGAGUUGAGUUUGUACAGGAGGCUGAUAAAAGAAGUCACUUGAUGGAUCUGCUCCAUGUGCAAAGAGACAGUUCAGAUCAAGGGAGCAAGCUCUCAUACUUGUCUUAGUGGAGAGUGGAGACCAAAAGGGGUGCCGACUCACUAGAGAACUGGUUUUGUAUGAAUGGAUUUUCAGCGACUUCAGUUCAUGGUGAUGGAAACCAGUAGGUUUAUCCUUUUU